UGCUGAAAAGAGCAAACUGCCGGCGACGGCAGGACGCAAAGCUUCCGGGCUCAUCGAGCUAGCGGGGCUGCCAGU
rnacentral:ncRNA from 1 species